AACACUUGUGCUCAGGCUGUGCAACUGUUAAGAUCAAGUGUAGUAUUUGUCCUUAUCAGUUUAAUAUCUAAUAUGUCCCCUAACUGGGGGCCAAUUAUUAAUUCUCCUUGAUUGGUCUCAGCUGUAGCUUGUUGCUGCUGUGGCUCUGGCUGCUGCUGUUUUGCUGCUGCUCUUGGGUUUCCAGUG